GGAGAAUUAAUAAUCCACUCAGUAAGAACAGUGUGCAACUGGCUAGCUCCAAAUAUCAUCACACCUGUGAUGUCAGAGUAGCAAUUAUCACAUCAUUAUCUUCUCUUCACUGUAAGAUUCAACUUUACAAACCAUGGGUAGGUGUGGAUAGAAGACACUGGAGUUACAGCAGAAAACUCAGAGUGGUGUGUCGGUCCAGUGUGUCAGCGGUGCUGCUGAUUCUUAACUCAUGGAUCUUCUAUCAAGAAUAAAAUCUGUCUUUGGACAUGGCAGCCAUGGCAGCAGGAAUGUGCAGUGACUGGUCAUACCAUAUCCACUGUCAAGAAGCAGAGAGAGGUGAGAGCUGGAUCUACGGAUCAGUUUCCCUCUCAACUCUUCAACUCCAUCUGGAUCUUUACUGGAAGCAUACGAGAAAGCUUGCCGGUUCUUCUGAAGAGCAGGACAUCCUGGCAGCACAGUGUUGUCUCCAUCAUCUAAAAUUUCUCAGUGCUAAGCUUUUACAUUUUAUCCACGAUAGCCCCUGUCUUUCCUGUUGCAGCUAUUCAUGGGCGCUUUGGAGCAUCAUCACUGGAGGGGCGUCUGUUGUGUGAUGGGCUGUUACAAGUGUGGAAAAGUCUUACUGGCUUCACAUAAAGGUUCUAAUAAUAUCUGA